UACGUAGGUGGCAAGCGUUGUCCGGAUUUACUGGGCGUAAAGGGCGUGCAGGCGGUCUGUUAAGUGCAGGGUGAAAGCUCCCGGCUCAACUGGGAGAGGUCCUUGCAUACUGGCGGACUUGAGGGGGGUAGAGGAAAGUGGAAUUCCCGAUGUAGUGGUGAUAUGCGUAGAUAUCGGGAGGAACACCUGUGGCGAAGGCGGCUUUCUGGGCCCUACCUGACGCUGAGACGCGAAAGCGUGGGGAGCGAACCGG
rnacentral:rRNA from 1 species